ACGAUCGGUAGUGGACGAGAGCUAGUAACUCAAAGUGCUCUCAUGCGAUUCACACUACUAACGUAAUUGUACGUCGUCGAAGAGAUGAACAUUUACCGUGCACAUCACCUAAUCCAGACUACCGUACUGGCUAACAAUCUCCAUGUGAGACAUAAUGUGUUGUUGUUGUCCGGAUACUACCAAAGAUUGUGAUAAUUGUUAUUUGUUUUAUAUUUUAGUUUUUUUUUUUUUAAAUGUAAUAUAACAUAGUGAAAUUUCAUUAACUAAAAUAAAAGAGGAUGAAGUAUUGCUUACUCAUUUGUAAAAGUUAUUUUGAUUUUCUGAAUUUAAAGUUAGGAAAGAAUCCAAGUCAUUAUUACAAUUUCAAGUAGAUAUAUAGUUUACUGGCUCGACAUCCCCUGAUA
rnacentral:lncRNA from 1 species